GCUUGAAAAGGCAAUGAACUAAUUUAGAUUUGUCUUAGGGAGCUGUACAUUUAGUCUUAUGAUUCUAUUCGAAUGUGUUAUGUAUUGACUCGGAUCAAUUUGAUAUGCAGGUCUACAUGGCAUGUGUCAUGCAUGGGCAUAGGAUACUUGCUGUGCAAAUUUGAUAAAAAAAUUUGAUGAGAGCACUCUACAGAUGCUUGAAGAUCUUGAAUUUGCUGUAAGACUAGUGGAUCUCAUUUGAAAAUCUUCCUACAAAGAAUAAGCAAAAGUGCUUUAGCGACUGAGGUGUCAGCUCUAAUGUAGUUUUCUGAUGGUGAAAUUGAGCCAAAAAGGUUUUUCUAUCGCACCUCAAAAACACGGGAGUUGGACAACCUUCUUGGGGACAUAUAUCAUGGUGUACUUUCCAUUAUACUAUAUUUCAUGGUGUAGUCUACUGGUGGCUUGAAUUACAUUUGAUGAGAUAGAGAGGGUUAAAAUCCUCAUUUAUUGUGUGAAAUAUACACUUGCAAAUGUUCCCUGGGAUUUUAUAUAUGUUUUCUUUGUUAAUUGUGUUAGACAUGGAGAGGGUGAUGACAAGGGACCUGAUAUCACAUGUUCUCUUAUUCUCUACAUUUGCAGAAAGCUAUGAACUUUGCUGCAGAACUUGACUGGUAGAUCACAUCAAGCUUUAAGGUUGAAUUUUGUCAUUUCUGUGGUCUAGUUCACUGGCGCUUAUUCUUACAUCAAGUUCUUGUUUUCAUAUGUUAGCUAUUUGUCUUUGGCAUUGGUUGCUCAACAAAACAACUAUGUAAGGCCAAAUUUGACUGUUGAUGCCAUACUGAAUAUACAAAAUAGAAGACAUGUUUUGCAGGAAAUGACAGUGGACACAUUUAUCCCAAAUGACACCAAAAUACUUGAUGAAGGAAAAAUUAAUAUUAUAACUGGCCCAAACUAUUCUGGGAAAAGCAUCUAUGUAAAACAGGAUAUUUUGUGCAAUGGGAAGCAAGCUCAUGGCUGCUGAACAGUCUACAUUUAUGAUUGAUCUACAGCAAGUAGGCAUGAUGUUGAGAUGGCGUUGGUCUUCUUGGUGGAACUGUUAACUAUCUUGCUGGUAGUGAUGAUACUCCAAAGGUUAGAGGCUGAACUAUCUAGCCUGAGUUUUGAGUCCCACUGUUAACGAGCUACGGGAUUGAAGAAAGGAGGUUACAGACUGAGUGACAUCAAUAACCUGUUUACUGUUGAUCAUUUGAACAAAUUUUGAGACAUGUGUUACUGACCUUACCGUCUUUACGUCUCUAUGAUAGAAUUAUCUGACUAACUAUAUGCACUGAUUCAACUAUGAAUUUUUAUUCCAUAUGUGCUUGUAAAAGUUCAUGAUAAUUUUUUCUGUAUUUCUGUACAUUUACAAGAAACUCUUGAUGUUCGAAGCUGCCUUUUUGGUAUAAAUUCAACAAUCAUCAAUGAAACCUCCAGC